UUGGAUCAGGAGUCAGGAGUAAUAACAAGUUUGAUGGUAAGCUGGAAGCAAGGACCAUCCUGCAGACACAGACGAAGACUAUCAUGCAACAGAAAGUUUAUUAGCCAUCCGCGCAACAGCACACAAGAAGAUGAGAAGCACCGACACACACAGAGAGGAAGUGAACAAUAUGACUUCAAUACCAAACAGCUGGUUCUAAAGCCGGAGGGAAUUUGGAGAAUCAAUGGCCUGGCCGCCAAAGGAGAGUACAAGCCCUCCAGCUCAGCUGACAAGGCCUCAAUGCAGUCUCUGUUCACAGCCAGCUACGUC